GAUGAACGCUGGCGGCGUGCCUAAUACAUGCAAGUCGAGCGAACAGACGAGGAGCUUGCUCCUCUGACGUUAGCGGCGGACGGGUGAGUAACACGUGGAUAACCUACCUAUAAGACUGGGAUAACUUCGGGAAACCGGAGCUUAUACCGGAUAAUAUAUUGAACCGCAUGGUUCAAUAGUGAAAGACGGUUUUGCUGUCUCUUAUAGAUGGAUCCGCGCCGCAUUAGCUAGUUGUUAAGUUAACGGCUUACCACGGCAACGAUGCGUAGCCGACCUGAGAGGGUGAUCGGCCACACGGGAACUGAGACACGGUCCAGACUCCUACGGGAGGCAGCAGUAGGGAAUCUUCCGCAAUGGGCGAAAGCCUGACGGAGCAACGCCGCGUGAGUGAUGAAGGUCUUCGGAUCGUAAAACUCUGUUAUUAGGGAAGAACAAAUGUGUAAGUAACUAUGCACGUCUUGACGGUACCUAAUCAGAAAGCCACGGCUAACUACGUG
rnacentral:rRNA from 1 species